UCACGUGCCCAAACCCUAAUUGCUCGAUCUCUCUAUCCUUUCCCCUUCCCUGAUUCCUCCGAUUUCGUCUCCCGUCGCGUCCUCCUGAGCUAAUCUCCGCCGCCUCUGCUCUCUCUUCUCCGAGGCAGGAAAGAAAGAUGGAGAAAGAGACGACGAAGCUCUCCUUCUCCUUCUCGUCCACCGCCUCCAAGCCAUCCUCUCGCUCCACCGUUACCAAGGCCGCCCGAGCGCAGGCCGAUGACGGCGGCGUCAAGCCCCAGUUCGUCACCGUCUUCGACCCUUCUGCAGCCCCCGGCUCCGGCGACGUCAAGCCCGUCAUCCCUCCGAUCCCCAACGUCGACCUCAACCCCGCCUUGAAGCGGAUGAAGAACCUCCUCCCCCUCCCCACCUCCGACGACGACCCCUCCGCAGCCGCCGCCAACACCGCUCACUUCGUCCUCGACACCUCCACCGGCGACGCCCCCGCCGGCCACAUCCCCUACGGCCUCACCCUCCGCUCCGCCGCCGCGGGCGACGCCGAUGGCGCCAGGUCCCAGCGGGAGGAGGACGGCCCUGGACGCCGCCGCGGCCGUGCCCAGGACGACGAUUUCAUGCACCGGAGAUACAGGGAGGACGUGAAGGAUCUGCCGGAAGAUCGAGGCAUGGAGGAGUUUAAAGACAUCAAUGUGGAGGAUUUUGGUGCUGCCGUUCUUGCGGGGUAUGGGUGGACGCAAGGCCAGGCGGUUGGGCGGAACAAGAAUCUGGUCGACACCAAGGUCUUCGAGUACAAGAGGAAGGGUGGCUCCGAAGGUAUUGGAUACAACCCAUCCUCGGGAGAUCCCAAGAAAAGAAGGGGACUUUGGGUUUCGGAAGAAGAGAAAGAGAAGGCAAAAGAGAAAACAAAAGAGAAGGAGAAGAUCGUCAGGGUUAUAUCAGGUCGACAUAUGGGGUCGAAAGGCAAAGUCUUGAAAAGGUCGGGUAGCUCUGAGCUAUUUUUGAAGCUGCUUGAGACUGGAGAAGAGGUCAAACUAAGGGAUGAAAUGGUUGCUGAUUUGGGCUCAACAGAGGAAGAGAAGUUCUUGAGGAAAUUGAAGACGUCAGAGAAUGAGGGCAGGGAUCAGAGGAGGGACGAGAAGAGGAACAGGCAUGAAAGGAGAGAGGAGAAGAGUGAACCCGUGCAGGAAAGCUCCAGGAGCAAUUACCGGAGUGAGGAGAACAAAGUCCGAUGGCUUACAAGCCAUAUUAGGGUCAGAAUAGUCAGCAAGGAUUUCAUGGGUGGGAAGCUGUACCUGAAGAAGGGGGAGGUAAUUGAUGUGGUGGGCCCAACAACAUGCGACAUUUCGAUGGAUGGAAGCAAGGAGUUGGUACAAGGUGUGGAUCAGGAUAUCCUUGAGACAGCACUGCCUAAGAGGGGAGGAUCAGUGCUUGUGCUAUAUGGGAAGCACAAGGGUGUCUUUGGGAGCCUUGUGGAGAGGAACACUGACAAGGAUACUGGAAUGGUAAGAGAUGCAGAUAGUCAUGACAUGAUCAAGGUGAGGUUGGAUGCGAUUGCUGAGUAUCUUGGGGAUCCAAGUUACCUCGGCUAUUGAUUCUUGAUUUAUUCAUGUCACUAGCUGCUUAUUAGCAGCUCCCUCACUGAAGGUUAUCAUACACAUUUGUUGAAGUGUUGGGCAUCUAUCUUCAUUUACAAUAUGAACUCGAACCUAAAUCCUGAAAUUGAUGUCUAAUUCUACAAGUUCAAUAUAGUUUCUGGUGUACAUGACAAGCUGCUAACACAGUGAAAUUUGCGGUGCAACAUGGCCAUCAUGAUUAGUUGUUCUCACAGUUUUGCAGGGGGAUGCUGGAGAAGACUUUUUUGUGUGUGGAAACAUUACAAGCAAAGAAGACCUGAUGCUACAAAUUGACCUAUUUGGUGUUGCCGGAUGAGCCUGCUGUGGCCAUCUAAUGAAUGAUCUGAUGAUUCAAGUUGAAAAAUACUGUUCAUCUGGAAGGGAUAUAGUGAGGUUGGGAAGUCUUUUUGGAUAUGGAAUUUAACGAAACACCCGACUUUGCGGGGACCCUCAGAAUAAUGUAGCGAAUGACGAUUGCGGCGAGAAGAAGCCAACAAUAGUUGGUGCUCAGAGGAAGCCGCAGAGGACGGAGAAGCCGAGGACGAUGAGCCACACGAUGUGGAGGAGGAGGAAGGCCUGGCCGGAGACGAGGCCGGUACCAGCGCUGCCGACCUGGCAAGGGCCCCGCUUGGUGACGCGGACGCCGGCGCACGCCGCCUCCGGGCAGCCGCACCAGUACGUGACGCC